UUAAUAAAAAUUUAUUAAAUAAUUAUUAUAUAAAAAAAUAAUUUAAAUUUUAGUAUUUUUUAAAGAAAAAAUAUUAGUUAUUAUAGAUUAAAGUAUUGAAAAAGAAAGUUGAAAUAAUUGAAAAUUAAAUAUAUAUAAAGAAAUUUUAAUUUAAUGUACCUUUUGUAUCAGGGAUUAUUAAUUAAUUAAUAUAAAUUUAUUAAUUUCGAAAUAAAAAGAUUUAAUUUAAUAUAAUUUUUAGUGUAAUAAAAUUAUCUUACAUAUUAAAUUAGAAUUAAAAAAUUAGUCGGUUUUUAUUAUAUCUAAUUUUUUUAGAAAUAAGUUAAAUUUAGUUUAUAAAAUUUAUUUAAUUAUUUUUAAAAUUAAAUAAAAUUUUAUAAAUAAUAUAUAAAGGGAUAAGCUUUUAUAUAAAAUUAUAAAAUUAUUAAAUAUAAAAAUUUAUAUAUUCUUAAAAAUAGAAAUUAUAAAAUAAUAUGUUAUAAUUUAAUACAUUAUGAUUAUAAUAUUUAGUUUUUUUUAAUUAUUUAUAAAAAUGUUUAAUUUAAUAAGAAAAAUUAAAGUAAUAAUGAUAAUAUUAGUAUAUUUAAAUGUAUUAAAUAUAAAAAUAAAUUAUAUGUGUGUAAGGAACUCGGCAAAUAUAAGUAUUCGCCUGUUUCUUAAAAACAUGUCUUUAAGGAUUUAUUUAAGGUUUAAUCUGCCCACUGAAUGUAUUUAAAGGGCCGCAGUAUAUUAACUGUGCAAAGGUAGCAUAAUCAUUAGUUUUUUAAUUGAAAGCUAGAAUGAAUGAUUGGACGAGAUAUUUACUGUCUUAUACGUAUAAUAAUAAAAUUUUAUUUUUUAUUUAAAAAGUUAAAAUAAAAUAAAAAGACGAGAAGACCCUAUAGAUCUUUAUAUAAUUAAUAGUUUAAUAAAAAUCAGUUAAAAUUAUUUUUAAAUUAUUAUUAUAUUAUGUUGGGGUAAUAAUAAAAUUUUUAAAAUUUUUAUUUAUUAUAAACAUUUAUAAUUGAAUUUUUGAUCCAAUAAUAUUGAUUAAAAAAUUAAGUUACCUUAGGGAUAACAGCGUAAUGAUUUUUGAGAGUUCUUAUUGAUAAAAUAGUUUGUGACCUCGAUGUUGAAUUAAAAUUAAUUUUGGAUGCAGGAGUUUAAAAGAUAAGGUCUGUUCGACCUUUAAUAUUUUACAUGAUUUGAGUUUAGACCGGCGUGAGCCAGGUCAGUUUCUAUCUUUUAUUAAAUAAUAUAUUUUAGUACGAAAGGAUUAAAUAUAUAAUAAAUUUUUAUUAAAAAAUAAUUGUAUAAUAAUAAUUUGAAGAUAU
rnacentral:rRNA from 1 species